rnacentral:rRNA from 1 species
GUGCCAGCAGCCGCGGUAAUACGUAGGGUGCGAGCGUUAAUCGGAAUUACUGGGCGUAAAGCGUGCGCAGGCGGUUCGUUAUGUCCGAUGUGAAAGCCCCGAGCUCAACUUGGGAAUGGCAUUGGAAACUGGCGGGCUGGAGUGUGGCAGAGGGGGGUGGAAUUCCACGUGUAGCAGUGAAAUGCGUAGAGAUGUGGAGGAACACCGAUGGCGAAGGCAGCCCCCUGGGCCAACACUGACGCUCAGGCACGAAAGCGUGGGGAGCAAACAGGAUUAGAUACCCUGGUAGUCC